UCUAGUCUGCCCAAUUUUCUAAAUACUUUCAUUAGUCCCUAGCCUUAUCUUAAAGUUAGGGUAGCCUUAUGCCUAUCCCACGCAUGCCUAAACUCCUUUACUGUGUUAACCUCUACCACUUCAGCUGGAAGGCUAUUCCAUGCAUUCACUACACUCUCAGUAAAGUAAUACUUCCUGAUAUUAUUUUUAAACCUUUGCACCUCUAAUUUAAGACUA